AACCCCAUCCUUUUUAAAGCAAUUCCCUUAAAGAACACUGAGCAUUUCCUUUACGCUCAGUGGGGACCUUUCUUGGUGUUUCAGCAGCGCCAGUCCCAGAAUAUGGCCAAUAAUGUUGCUGAGGGGCGGGGAGCAGCGCGGUCUGCAGACCCACUGAGUCUGGCGGGGUGCCGAGGAGAGGCAGCAGGCAGCGGUAGCAGAGAUGGGCUCACACCUUUGAAUCACAAAUCAGCACCCCCACCCCUACCCCAGUCAAGCAUCUCGGGAGACACUGGAAGACCAAUUUUUGGAGGGGGUUUUGCUGGUGUUCCUCAUUAAGACCGGUAGACUACAGCUACCAAGAAGCAGGAGCGGCAAGGGUUAUAGUUGCAUUGUGACGUUCAGCACUCCUGCCGUCUCACCUGCACUGCCGGUGAAGAGGUCCGCUGUGAUAAAGAUGCAUCCAGAUAAGUACCUACCUGAGCUGGUGUCCGAGAAAAACAGCCUGGACCCCUCCUUUGUGCAUGCGGUGCGCCUGCUUGCAGAAGAGAUUGAAAAGUACGAAGGCGAUGAAUUAAGAAAAGAUGGUGACACCAAGAAAUACCUAGACAUUAUCAGCAAUAAAAACAUCAAGCUCUCCGAAAGAGUUCUCAUUCCUGUCCAACAGUAUCCAAAGUUUAAUUUUGUAGGGAAGCUGCUGGGACCACGGGGAAAUUCUAUGAAACGAUUACAAGAGGAGACAGGAGUGAAGAUGUCCAUCCUUGGCAAAGGGUCCAUGAGAGAUAAAGACAAGGAAGAAGAAUUAAGGAAAAGCGGGGAGGCCAAAUACGCCCAUCUGAGUAACGAUCUGCACGUUUUAAUUGAGGUCUUUGCUCCACCUGGAGAGGCCUAUUCCCGCAUGAGUCACGCCUUGGAGGAGAUAAAGAAAUUCCUAGUACCAGAUUACAAUGACGAGAUCAGGCAGGAACAACUCCGAGAGUUAUCCCUGUUGAACGGCUCUGACGAGUCAAGCAGAGGGAGGAGUGUUCAAGGGAGGUGUCUACGACCAACAACCGCAAUAACCACAAGGGGCCACAGAGGCGCGGGAAGGAGCGCGGCAACACCUCGGGGGACAGCGACGGCAGCACACAGCAAACUUCCCACGACAGUUUUGACGAGGGAGGUACAAGUCCCGAGAGCCAGAGGGGCAGCAGCAGCAAGUGUCGGAUACAGGCCCCCGCUGUUAGCAGUCACACAUGAAUCAUAUGACGACUAUGCCUACGACGACGGAUACGGUGGAGAGUAUGAUGAUGAGAGUUAUGAAGCCUAUGAAGAUAACUACAGCAAUCAGUCAAAGAGCAUUUCAGACUAUUAUGAAUAUGGGCAGGGAACCAGUGAUGAAUCCUACAACAACUAUGAGGAGGAGUGGGGAACUACCCGAGCCAGUCUCAAAGCCCCUGUUUUACGGCUGACGCGAGGAGGCUACAGAAAACAUCCUUAUGGCAGAUACUAAAGGUGGUCCAGACCUCCAAUUCUCAGCUAUUUAUAUCUAUUUUUUAAAUCCAUUAUAAAUGUUGUAACAGUUAUUUUAUUUUUGGCCCAUCUUCUUCAGAAAGUAAAAAGAAAAUCCCCACCCCCACCCCCAUAAAGCGCAUAAAGCAACAAUUAUUGCAGUAUACUGAUGUUUGAGCCUUUUUUUUAACAAAAGAGACACUUAACAGUUCUCAUCCAUAUGCAGGAAGGUUGUUCUUGGCUGUUUAAAUGCCCUUCAUUCCAGCUCCCUCUGCCCUAAAACAUUAAUCUGCAGAUUUAUUCUUGUGGGAUUUGCGUGACUAGUUGGUUUCCAUUUAGUGUCUUUAAUGUAGUGAUUACUAAGGUUUAAUAGCCAACCCCUGUUCACUGUGUUAAAGCAGGCAAUCAUAGAGCCAUAAUUUGACUUAGAGAGCCUAUCAAAACUCUGCUGCGUCUCUCUACUUGCUUUAAUUGCUAAGGAGACUUCGGUGCCCCACAUAAUAGAGGCAUUUUCGUGGUGUUGCAAAACAUCCAGUGAUGUCAUGUCCGUUUUUAUCCACCGUGACACGCUACUAGAUGUGGAAAACAAGCAAAACUUUUUCUCAUUUUAGUUGUGCCUGUUCUUCAAAUACGAGUUUGUCUAGGGGGAAAUUAGUUUUGCCCUCUUAUGCGAGUAUUUUUUUUUUAAGUUAUUCAAACCCUAUUGGCACUUUUUUCCUAAUUUGGAAAACGGCCCACAAAAUCCAGCUUAGCUCUUUGUCAGUGACUUUACAGGCACGAUGAGUCUUUAACCAGCCACAGCUACGGAGAAAAUGUGUUCACUUUAAAUUUGAAAAAGUCUUUUUUUUUUAAAACUUCAACCUUUCUCCAGAGUUCACUGAUUGGUGGCUGCUGUCUGGUUUAAAUUACUUCAUGGAGAAAUUCAAACUGAUUUCUUCAAGGCACUUUUUUGAUGAUUUGGUUUAGUAAAAAUAAAAACUGUUGCUUUUCUCUCGCUUUAUCUGAACAGAACUAAUCUGCAACUUUGAUUUGAUUUGCAAAAACUAUAACUAACCAACGGCAAGUUUAAACACUCCCCACAACACAAAUAACAUUAAAUGCAACAAAUGGAAACCUAUCCUUGAAGAAGAGUUGAAGACCUGAGUGCAGAGUGUCUAAAUGACCUAAAAUUUUCUUCUAAAAAAAUGUUUAAUGUUGAAAUAUCAGGCAAAAUUACCCUAGGCCAUGUUGUGACUUUAAAUGAUACAAAAUGAUGUGAGAUCAUGAUCGUGCAAAACACAGUUUUGGUUGAAAGCAAUGUACAGUGUGUAAUUUCUAAUGCGUGCUUUGUUCUGUGUGUAAUCUGUAUUUGUACAUAAGGCAUUUAAUAAAAACAGCAUAAACCUCCAACACAGUGUGUAAGACUUUCUAAAUAGCAGCCUGUGAAGCAUUAAAUUGCUAUUGUUCUGCAGUUUGUUAACGCGAUACGUGACGCAAUUCAAGCUUCUUGUUUCUAAAACCUAACAUCUGCUUGCAGGUAACGGCUAACUCGUUUCAUAAAGAAAACCCACCAACCUGUCCCAAAUGAAUCAUUUGUAAAACACCGUAUGUUAUCCUUGAAUAUCUGAUCACUUUCUUAAGAAACUAAUAAAUUUCUGUUCUUAAUUCAUUCUCUGAAGUUUUACAUCAUUAAACAGACACUGAUUGACUCUGAUAUGGCGUUUAAAGAGGUAAGAAGUCCUCAUAUAUUAUCAUAAUAAUGCCUUAAAAAUUCUCAGGAUUUGGAGCUUAAAGAAAAGCAUGUGGGCAAUACGGGAUCUAGAUGCUGGUAUUUACCUUCUGAUUGAAUGUCAUUGCUGAGGGGGGAAAACAACGGCCUCAGCAACUCAUCAAUGUCUCUGCUAACGCCUUUCUGCAUUUCUGUCAUUUAACCUGAGAAACCUGCUCUGUAACUUUCCGUUCUUUAAAUAUCGAAGCUGAGAUCUAUUUAGCAAUUUGAAUUCUCUUUUGUGAUUAGUACACCUGAAGCCUGACUCUCAUUAAGAGUGUAGAUCACGGGACUCAAAGGAAGACUAAACACUAAGCAGAUAAGGAAACACACCGCGGUGUGUUUUGGUCAAAGAGGAGAGGAAUGUAAUAGAGCAGAAGGAAUUGAAAACGGCUCCUACAGACCUGAAGAUUACACUUUGCCAUCAAGCAAGUUCAGGUCCUUCACUGGCCGGGGAAGUAUCUAGUAAUAAGUUUGGACUUGGAGAGAAGGGAUGAUGCAACAUGAUGGAAAGAGAUUACAGAUCACAAAUAGGUUGCUGUGCACUAAGAAGACAGCAAGUCACACUCCUGGUGGACAAUAUAUUUUUUUUAAUGUUUUUAUGUGUGCUUACGCCCUUAGACUACAUGUGUAUUAUAUAUACAGACUUUUAUUUAUUUAUUUAGUUUUGACCUGUAAAAAUCUCCCAAGGUUAGAAAACUAGGAUUCCUGUUUUUGGAGCUGAAAAGUCCCAUUCAUUUAUUUUUGAUAUUUGAAAUGCACUUUUGGCGUAAUGUCACUUCUGUUCAGUAUUCUUUUAUUUUGCUGUGGCCUAAAGUGAAAAUAUAUAUAUAUAUAUAUAUAUAUUUUAAAAGUCUCAACACGACUGCACCUUAUUUUAUUUAAAGGUGCUGUCAUUUGGUGGCUGUUGUCAUUACCAACCUGAGUGCACCCUGUGUCUGUUCCCAGCUCUCUAAUAAAUGCUUCAGUUAGGGCUGCCAACACGAACAUGUUAGUUCAUUAAAUAAGUCGAGCCCACUGCUGGCGUUCUGGCCAAGUGUCAAAGCUACUUUACGGGCCCGACCCGUCACUGCCUCCACAAUACACUCCAGCAGCCAGUCACAGCUCACCUCUUGUCAUUUUCAAAGUGGUAGUCAUAAUGAACGGUGCUGUCUCCAGCUCUACAUAUGGUUCACGGUGAUUAACGCCUGAGAUUGAUAGAAGCAAUACAAGCUCCCUACAAUUCAAAUAAAUGUUCACGACUGUCUUCUUUCUGGAUUUGUGUGUUCGUAUUUGAUUUACAAAACAAUAAAUCGAUUGCCUCAUAAACCAGUCGCACCAAACCUUCUCGCGAUGUGUUCAAGUCAAACAGCUCGCAGGUUUAACGACUCAAAUUUGAUGCGGGUGUUCGUCUUUGUGUUAUCUUUUCGGGUGGAAAGGGGUGUUGUGAAUCCGCUCAGAUGAACAGCAGACUUGUUUCGUCAAAAUAUCCACCACCCCCCUCCAUUCUGACAUUUGUUUAAUUCAUUCGCUCGAUGACAUAGACUCCACAGAGUCAGUCAGACAGCGUGGCAUUUAUCUUCCUGAAAAAAAUCACUUGAUCUAAAUAUCGGAAACACAAAGACACCAAAGUGGGUCAGGAUCUAGGCGAGUACCCAGAAAUGUUCAAUGAUGCAAAACAGAGCAUGGUGAUAAUUCUCACACGCACAGCAUUUCCUCUAUCCAAGAACGGCUACCUGAGCAAACUCCGCUUUGUUUAGACAGCUGGUUUGAUGAGCCAGAAUAGAAAACGAGGGCUUAUAAUCACCAGAGUCUAAAAGAGCCUCCUCACCAGUGUAGUGCUUGUGAUGAAAUGGUGUGCAGAGUUAGAGCCCUGGAUGUGUUUUGAUCAUUUUCAUGUUGUUUCUCUGGCCUUGCGACAGCAGGCUGGGAUCCAGGUGACAGUAGGUGUGUGCUACUGUAAGACGACUACCAUAGCUGAGCUUAGCUUCCUUCUAGCACCAAAGCCCGCCCCCUUAACUUAUUAGAGCUGCAGUAAUUUUAGAAAGAUGAUGAGCUUUGACAUAUUAUGUUGCACUAUGCACAUGGAUCAACUAAGGAGGAAGUGAACUGAACUGCUCUUCCACACCUUCAGUGCCGGCUGAAUUCACCGCAGUGUAUAUUAAAUAAUAAAGGCUUCCAUUAUAAAAGGAAUAAAGCAACACAAGAAGUGCCUCUAAAAAAAUUAAUUUUCUAAGUAAAUUUUGGAUCCCAUCGGAAUUUGCUCGAGUCUCUUUCUAUUAAAAAUAAAAGCAGUUCUCACUGAAUAAUGUCUUAAAGCAAACACUGAUGUCUGCAUCUGUUCCCAGUGAGAGUGUUUUUAAUGCAUAAUGUAGACAUCUGUAAGCUUCUGCAUACAUCUCCUGUUUAAGAUCACAAAUAUUUAUGUAAAAAUAUCUAAUAUUUCCUUGGCAACUGAGCUGCUGCAGACCACAAACACAUAUAGUGGAUAAACGGGAUCAAUUGUGCCUGAAUAUGGCGCGUGGUCUAAUGAUGGCAGGUGAUUCAUAUCUCGUGUCUUUUACUAGAAACAGAUAUGCUUUGUGUUUAACAUCCAGUCUGAAUUAGUGCAGUUUUACUAAUACAGAUGGAUAUUUCCUGUCAUCCUGUAUUAAAAAGUCAGUGCUUUGAGUCUGCCCUGCGAGCUUGUGUAAAUAUGUGAUAUUUCGCCUUUUCACUUAUCUGAAAGGGAGCUUCAGGUUAACCCUCAGCUGUUGCUUAUUAUCCCGAUCUUCUGUAUUCUUUCCCAUCUCAUUCACUGCUGCUUGUUACAGCAUGAAUAUAUAACCAUUAGAUAUUCUUUUAUACAUGGUGUAGAUUUUAUUGGAGUUUUUCUCAUUUAAGGUGGGCUAUUCUAGUCUUAAAAACCCAAAAGUCCAAUUAGCUGACAGACUACUCAAGAUUGUAAAAAAUGAAGCCACAGCAGGUAUCUUUUUUUUUUCUCCCAGCUCUUUAAUAUUGCGCAUACACCCAUGGGUAACACUGUUGGAUAAAUGCUUCCAACAGGCAACACUGUAAUGUAGCUGUCAGGAUUCAGAGUCACAGAUGUCCCCAAUGAAACCCUUUUGUUUUGCCUUCAUUGUGUUUUCUUUCGCAGCUUUGGAAAUAACACACAGUUGUUCAUUUUGAUCUGGAUGGCAAAAGUAAACAACAACUAUUGCUCGGAGGGCAAGGUGAUUCAUGAGGCCCACAUAAAAACAGCCAACAAUUGAUUCAGCCGUUGAUGCAGUCAAAGUCAUGUUUGAGUCUUUUUGUCCCUGGGUGUUUUAAUGGAGAGCACAUGACAAGUCUGCACUUCCUACAGGGAACUCUUUACAGCCAAACAAGGAAAAUUAGAUGUGCCACAUCUCAGGAAAGAGCGUUCAGUGAUGGCUUCAGCUAAUGCUAAAAGUUUAUAUGUCUCAACACUGAGCUGACAAUUAGUGUGUGCAGUACGAGCAUGCUCAUAAUCACUCCGAACUAAAUGUUGUUUUUGUAGGUCCAUGCAUAUUAAAUCCCCUGCAUAACCUAAACAUAACAUAUAUACACACAUAUUCUGUUAGCACGUGUCCAACGUGGAGAAAAUGUGGUAAAAGAUGAUCAAUUAUGUAACUUAUUGAAUCAAAAAAUAAUAAUGCUGCUAGUUAAAAUGCGGGUUACAAAAGCCAGACAGUUGUUAAAAUAAAUUACAAUUUCUGUGCUAAUAGAAUUUAUUCAUAAGUUUCUCUUUCCCUUGCCUCGUUUUGCUUUUUAGUGAGCUCGCUUAAUUUGCUCUUGGCAAGAAGUUGAUUCUAAUUUCCUAUAGGAAAUUAGAAUAAGCACAUAUGCAUGUAUAGAGCAAAGCCUGCAAACUCGGGAGGCAAAGAGCAGUACUGAUUCAUAGAUAUGUGGCCUCACAUCAUAUAUCAAACGCACUGUCUCCAUGUUAUUGUCUGCUUAAGCUGCAAAAUGUCAUGUUAAAUUUACUGCCCUCCACCACUCCAGUAAACAUCCACCUGUAGGAGCCAUACGUACUCACCACUCCCCAGCUACUGUAGGUUAAUGCAUCUCAAAGCAAUAAAAUGCUGUGGAAAAAUUCAUUCUUUUCAUAACCUUACCAUUAAAUGACUGAAGACCAUGCUAUCACUGUGCUUAAUUGGCCAAACAAAACCCAAUGAUACAUUAUGGGGGUUCAGGUCAUACUGGGUUAUUGCUAUAGAAGGUUCAGACAAGCCGAAGGCCAUUAUCAAAGGAAGGCUAAAGUAACACCUUCAUGCCACACCAUAGUGAUGCAGUAAGUUGUGGCACAGGAGCCCCGAUCAAGUUCUGAGUGUAUAAAUGAACUUACAUUUCAGAAUUUAGAAAUUUCUGUAUCGUGUAGCAUUUAUUUUUCAUUGAUCUCUCUGAGUUUCAUGAGCUAUAAGCCAGAAUCUGCAUUUAUGCAGGCAGACACGUUCACAAUGACCUGAUGAAGUGGCAUAGUUGUUGUUAGCAGAUGGACUGGUCUGAGUAUUUUAGAAAGUUCUGAUCUACUGAGAUUUUUCCACAUAACCAUCUCUAGGGUUCAGAGAGAAUGGUCUGAAAAAGAGAAAAUAUCCACUGGGCAGCAGUUCUAUGCGUGAAAAUGCCUUGCCAAUGCUAAAGAUCAGAGGAUAACGGUCAGACUGAUUCAAGCUGAUAGGAAGGCAACAUUAAAUCAAAUAACCACUUUUACAACCAGGGUAUGCAGAUGAGCAUCUCUGAACACACCAAACCAUGAAAGCACAUGGGCUACAGCAGCAGCAGGCAACUGUGGGUGAUACUCGUGUCAGCCAAGAACAAGAAACCGAGGCUACAAUUUGCAAAACUGGACAACAGAAGAUUGGAAAAACAUUGACUAUUAAGCCUAUUGACUACUGAAUCUCGAUUUCUGCUAUGACAUUCAGAUUGCAGGGUCAGAAUUUGGCGUAAACAACGUGAAAGCUUUUACUAUCAGCGUCUUUUAAAAGCCACAACCUACCUGAGAAUUGUUGCUGACCAUGUUCAUCCCUUUAUCACCACAGCGUACCCAUCAUCUGAUGGCUCCAGCGGGAUAACUCACCAUGUCACAAAGCUCAGGUAUUCUCAAACCAGUUCCUUCAGCAAAUGCCCUCCACAGUCAUCAGAUCUUAAUCCAACAGGGCGCCUUUGGAGUUCAUUUAAUGAAUGUGCCUCUGACAUAUUUGCAGCACUUAUGUGAUGCUUUCAUGUCAGCAUGGACCAAAGUCUCUCAUGAAUGUUUCCAGCACCUUGUUGAAAGAAUUAAUGCAGCUCUGACAGCAAAUAUAGUACAUACACCCACCAGUCACUAACAAUGUGAUAUUUUUUUAAUUGUCUGUUAACUAUAUAGGCUUACUUAGGCCUCUAUGUAACCAAAGGUUAAUUUUAAUAUAAUCACAGACAGAAACAACAUUCCCAAGUCACAGUUAAGGCAUUACUGAAUUAUCCCUUCACUGCUGCAUUUCUUUACUAAAAUGCUCUGAGGGUUGCUGCAGCAAGCUGAUGAAAUCGAUUACAAGCUUACAUUGACUUCACCUUAUCAGCGAGGGAACCCUCGGGGAAGUAUUAGCACUUUGUCUCAGUGAAUGUUUUUCACAUCAUUUUCAGGAUCGAAGAAAAGCCAACUAUACGGGAACUGCACACAGAGCCUCUCUGGCAUUUUGAAUUAACAUUUCUCUCAGUUUUUCUCCGCAGACUUACUUUUCAACCAUGAUGUGUGAAUGGCAAGGAAAUGUUAACAGGCCUUUAACAGAAAAUACUUCUUAGCCUGAAUGCAGGCACUUGACGGAUUACUUUAAAAGCUCAAUUCUGUAGGUUUUGAGCCUGAUUUGAUUGUGAUGUACACAUUUUCAUGUAUAAAGCUAAGUAUGACAUAGAUUCCAUUGCGGGUGAAAAAUAUGAGUCAUUAGUCAGUGAGUGUUUGGUGUUGGAAUUAUGCUGUAGGGUCACACUGAUGUAAUUCAGGAGAAGAAAAAAAGGUAUCUUUUUGUAGCUCUCUCUGAAGUUGCUGGCACACAUGUGAGGUCUUGACCAGCUAAGACAUCAAACUACAGACAAUUAUGGGGCCUGGGAAAACUGCAGUUCUCUAUAGCGAGUGCUGCUUCAGACCCUGUGAAGAUGAAACAUGCAUGUGAGUAGUGCAAAAAAAAAUCCCACCUCCCCGAGGGGUGCCGAGGCUAUGAACUACAAGGAGGAGAUUAACCAAUGCAGCUGUGGGAGAGAGAGAGAGAGGUGAGCUCCUGCACCCCACCCCCGCUCUGGCUGAGAUUAUUUCAAAACAGAUUUAUUUUUUAAUAAAUGUUCAACGGCAGGUGUGAUUUAAUGGAGCGAAUAAUUUGUGUCAACUUCCACGGCCCAAAGGAUGGUUUGUUCUCUGAGUGAUGAAUGCAGUGCUUUUGAGAGAAUAAAAACAAACUUACCAAUUUUAGAAUAUACUGAUGUUUCACUUUAUGGCAUUCAUUUUCUUUUUAUAACUAACCAUGUUUGAGAAGACAGCAAAGACCAUUCCUCUGUUAUCUCAUUUCCCAAAAUGUGCCUGACAACAGUUUACAGGGAUGAGCGAAGCGGUUAAACCAGCCUGCCUUCAGGAACUUACAAAGGGAUACAUCGUGUAAGGUCUUCAUCUUAAAGCAGGCUUUAGAUUUGAAUUGAACGGCUAAGAAACAAUACAUUUUGACAGUGUUUUCAUCUUACUGUAACACCCCCUUAAGGAGGUUAUCCGCAGUAAAAAUAAAGGGGCAAAAAAAAUUCUUUUGUAUCAUUCAAUCUCAAGGGGGCAAUCUGGUGGAUUGGCGAGAUCUGGCUCCUCAAUUUAUCAACGUCAAAGAGACAAUCCAGGAGAUUGCUCCCAACUCUUUCUUCCCCCCCUCACACUGCCCAUCUUUCAGUUUCUUAUCUACUGUCUGUUCAGACUGCUAACUCAGUGUCAGCUCACGAAGCAUCAACAAGCUCCAGCUCUCCGUCUCCACCAACAUCCCCCUGCAGGGAAAAGGGAUGGGCACAGAGCUGGUUGAUUGUCAGUGCCAUUAUGUCGCCCCAACAUCUCACAGUCUCCACUUCCACAAUUCCCUCCAUUAACAAGGGGGUUCGCUUCCCAUUUCCCCUUUGAUGUGUCACACUCUGCUGCAGAUUUGGUUUUAAUAUGUGUGACAGAAUCCACUUAACUGGUAGUAGGAAGACGUGAGGGAGCUUCUUCUUCUUCUUUUUUUCCUGUGGAGAAACAGCAGCCAUUCAAUACAGACAUCACAUUUAAAUUCAAGUGGGAGUUUCUGAGAAUUAAUUUAAACCAAAAUCAAUUAUAGAUGAGUUAUCAUCAGAUAUUUGCAGUAGGCCGCAAACGCAUUUUUUAAAAAAAGUUUGUGUUUUUACUUAAAGGAAUAGUUUGAUUUUUAGAAACACUCUAAUUAGCAUUCUAUUAGAUAAGAAGCCAUUUAUUUUUACAAAAAAAUUUUUUUACUCCCUCUUGUGAUGAUAACAUAUUUUACUUAUCAAGUCACUGAUGCGGUCUGAGAGAAAGCAAAGCGAGUUUGAAAAUUUAAAGGUGCUCAAACUUAUAUUGUGAUUAUUUCUACAGUCGUGUGUUUAUAAUAAUCCAAGCAGAACAUGCACCAAAGCAAAACGAAGGAAAGCAUUGUAAACAAAGAUCUAAGUCAUUUUCAAGUCAAAUAUGGAUGCACAAUAUGAUCUCAUUAAAUCCAACCUUCAAAGCUCAAAUAACUCAGGGGGAAAAUAACUAGAGAACGAAAGAGGGAGAGAGAAGAAAAAUGUAAAUGUACGUUCAGUUAAGCAAACUUUGUAGUGUUUGGGGGCGGAAAUAGAUGGUCACUGUUUACCAAGCCGUUUGAUCCAGAACAAUACGAAGAAGCGUAAAGCCAAGUCGCAUGCGUGCUGCUGCUGAUUAAAACAUUCCUGCAGGAGCGAAGGGGAUGUUUAGAGCAACUAACGCACCACUUUCACGGGUUUUGUCCAACACGAAGCGACAACGUGGCUGCAGGUAAGGAAGGAGCGAGGAGUUUGCGAGCGAAGUUAAUCGCAUGAGAAGAGACUCACACAUCUGUCAGGUUAAUGAGACAGCACCCGCAGGAAUAGUGAUGCAUUUACAUACAGCUGCAGGUGGUUUUGUGUCCAGUUUUGCAAUCAAGAGUUUUGUCACGUCUCGAGGCUAAUUUAGUGUUUGGGAACAAUCUCGAUGGCAAAUAUAUUGUUUCUUAAAUGAUCAUUUAGAGCCCAACAUCACACUCUACAGCACUGCAAGAAUUGCCAGGAUUCACAAGAAUGAGAGAAAAUGCUGAUGGGAGUGUAACUGAUGCUUCCAUCUGGUGUUACAAUCAAUACCACGCAGUGACACCGAGAGACGGUAACGGACACUCUCGGUUCUCUACAUUUAGAUCAGUGGAACGAUGCCAACAGGUGCACGGACAAAGACAUGUGGCGUGUAACACCUACAAAUGUGACAAAAAAAUCAAAACAAAGUAAAAUGCAUUUUUUAACUAGUCGUUGUGGGAUAAUUGAAAGAAUCUCACUGUAAACACUGGUUUAGGAUUAUUUUCCAGUUCAAUAAUUGUAUUUUGUGUUUGUGUGUGAAAUAUAAGCCACACCCAUGUGGGAGUGGGGAUUCCACUCUAGUCCAGCUGAGUACUGAGAGUAGUUGAUUGGUGUGGAUUUGGGCCCUUCUCUAUAAAUAGGACAGAAAGGCAGAAACAGGAAGGAAGUAUGUUGUAGGACACGUUUAAAGCUGGUGAGAGAAAAAGGCAUUUUAAAGGACAAUAGUUUUAACCUGGCCUGGAUGGUUUAGCUGCUAAAAUAAUUAAAUUUUACUGGAAGGAGGAUUUGUUUUAAUUUGGGUUUAUAUGGAUUUGUUGUGAUAAAAGACUGGAUUGGAAACUGCUGGUUUGUUGGACCUGUGUAUUAGGAAGUUUAAGCCUACUCUGUAAUUAGGGGGUGGCCAACCAGAAGAAAUCGCUCACGACCUGGAGGAGAAGAGCUUUAGAGUUGUAUUCCCAGGACCUGCUGUGAAAACGUACUCCUACAAAUGCAAAGCCUAUCAAGGUGGGUAAAAAAGCCUUUGUCGGGAAGAUGCAGACCUUUUCCUGUUUGUAACCGUGGUGGCUUCAGCUUUUGAAUUCCAGGCCAGAACUAAGCCUUCGCUCCUCUACUCUGCUUAGAAAGGAAAAAUAAACCUUGUGUACUCUAUUUUAAGUGAGUUUGGUGGUUUUCUACUCGUCACUAUUAGAACUUUUUCUUUCUUCUACUGAGGCCUUUUUGUUGCCCACUUCUUAACAUUGUGCUGUGCAUUGGUAUCCGUAGCAUCAGUAUUCGGAUCGAUCCGCUCUCCUCUAAUUUAAAGCCACCAAAAGAAAGUACAAUCUUUCACUUCUAAGGUUUUACAUAUCAGGACAUAAUAAAAAUUAUCUAGUCAUUACCAUACAUAUUACACAGUGUCAUUAUUUAUUUAACUAAAACUAAGCUAAAAUGAAGAAGCAGCAAGUACACUUCAUGAUUCAGUAGCUUGUAGAACCACCUUUAGCAGCAAUAACUUGAAGUAAUGGUUUUCUGUGGGUUUAUCAGCCUCUUACAUCAUUGUGGUGGAAUACUGGCACAGUCUUCUUUACAACAUUGUUUCAGUUCAUUGAGGUUUAUGGGCAUUUGUUUAUGCACAGCUCUCUCCACGGCAUUUCAAUCAGGUUGAGGUCUGGACUUUGACUGGGCCAUUGCACCUUGAGUUUUUUUCCCCCUUUUUCAGCUACUCUGAUGGAGAUUUGCUACUGUACUUGGGAUUGGUAAUUUAAAGAGGGUGUACUUUCUUUUUACCAUGACUCAGUCUGUGCACACACAAAAAAACCAUUUCUAUUCUAGUGGUUUUCUAGGGCAAUAAUUCCCCAUACACAGGACACAAGACAUCACUAAAUGAUUUGAGAAGUAUAAAAUAAUGAGUGCCGUAUGCUACAGCCUUCGCAAUCACCAUCAUCCACCCAGAAAGGCCUAUGAGAGAUUUUGGGGCACCCUGUUGCCAUUCUCCACCAUCAUGAUCAAAACACCAAAUGAGGACAUGUUUUAGUAGAAUUCCAGAAGACUUCCAGAGGCCUGGAGAAUCAUUUCCAAACAGCUACCAUAAAAAAACAAGCGGGUAAAUGAGGAUACUGAAAGAAUUUAAAUCUGGUUGAAUUAAACAUUGACUCAUAAACUGAGUCCUGUGAACUUUACUGCAUGCUCCGGAUGAUUAAAAUACUCUGAACGAUGAAAAUCAAACAGAAAUGUAAUCAAAGCUCUAAAUGUUGAAAACUGUGCUUAGUAAUAAAAAAAACACUUUAAAUAGAAAUUUCCAUUAUCGGUCUUGCAACAGACUGCAACACAAUUGUACAGUCACUGCCUUCAACUUUGCAAACUAAUCUAGCAGGGCAAUUUCUUUAAUAAGUGUCUCCAUUAUUAGUGAGUCAUAUGAGCGCUCACGGGGAAGUGAAUUUGUUGAAAAUUAAAAAAUAUUUUCCCGAUUGGUUGUGUGGCACAUCAGUCGUUUUAGCUGCUGUUAGUGGCUGGAAGCAAUUUUGUUUUUUACAGAAAUAGUUUGUCUGCCAGAAAAUUAAACAUCCAAACAAUGUUGGUUUUAUGUUUCAGAAGGGCUUUGAGAUGGAGGACAGACUCUGAAUAUUCUUUUCUUUUCUUUUUUUCCUUCAAUAUUUGGAUUAUACCACUUAGGUUUAUUGGGAAACCACAGGAAUCAGAUGCUUAAAUAAAACUACAUUCAUAUUUACACACAGAUACACUUAACAGCAAACCUAAAGAAAGCUUAAAGAGCUUUUAUUAGACCUUUUUAUUGGUCUUUAUCUGCCAUAUACUGCUACAAUGAUGGAUGCUCCUGUUAAAACAUGACCAGAGUUUCAAAUUUUAGAUCAGCAAAUUUACAGACAGCUCAGAACAUGGUUUCUCACAGUUUACAGUCCAAUAGUUUACUCACUUGGAUGUGUGAUGUCAAAGAGAUGUGAUAUCCUUACCUUUCUUUGACGGGUAAAGUACAGCCAGGCACACAGCUGUGGCUGUACUGUUUUAAACUGUGAACUGUGCAAAGCAAUUCUAGUAUAUCAGCAAUAGUGACCUAGAAAG